UUGACCUCGGAUCAGGUAGGGAUACCCGCUGAACUUAAGCAUAUCAAUAAGCGGAGGAAAAGAAACCAACAGGGAUUGCCCUAGUAACGGCGAGUGAAGCGGCAACAGCUCAAAUUUGAAAUCUGGCGCCUUGGUGCCCGAGUUGUAAUUUGUAGAGGAUGUUUCGGGCGCGGCACCGGUCUAAGUUCCUUGGAACAGGGCGUCAUAGAGGGUGAGAAUCCCGUACGUGAUCGGUUGCCUACCCCAUGUGAAACUCCUUCGACGAGUCGAGUUGUUUGGGAAUGCAGCUCAAAAUGGGUGGUAUAUUUCAUCUAAAGCUAAAUAUUGGCCAGAGACCGAUAGCGCACAAGUAGAGUGAUCGAAAGAUGAAAAGCACUUUGGAAAGAGAGUUAAACAGUACGUGAAAUUGUUGAAAGGGAAGCGCUUGCAACCAGACUUGCCCCGGGGUGAUCAACCGUCCUUUUGGUCGGUGCACUCUCCCCGGGUCAGGCCAGCAUCGGUUCGGGCGGUUGGAUAAAGGCUCCGGGAACGUAGCUCUCUUCGGGGAGUGUUAUAGCCCGGGGUGCAAUGCAACCAGCCUGGACCGAGGACCGCGCUUUGCU
rnacentral:rRNA from 1 species